rnacentral:rRNA from 1 species
AUUGAACGCUGGCGGCAGGCCUAACACAUGCAAGUCGAGCGAGCGGCGGACGGGUGAGUAAUGUAUGGGGAUCUGCCCGAUAGAGGAGGAUAACUACUGGAAACUGUUGCUAAUACCGCCUACUAUCGGCUGGACCCAUUUGGGAUUAGCUAGUAGGUGGGGUAAAGGCACACCAAGGCGACGAUCUCUAGCGGGUCUGAGAGGAGGAGCAGCCACACGGGGACUGAGACACGGCCCAGACUCCUACGGGAGGCAGCAGUGGGGAAUAUUGCACAAUGGGCGCAAGCCUGAUGCAGCCAUGCCGCGUGUAUGAAGAAGGCCUUAGGGUUGUAAAGUACUUUCAGUGGGGAGGCGUUACCAGCAGAAGAAGCACCGGCUAACUCCGUGCCAGCAGCCGCGGUAAUAC